rnacentral:rRNA from 1 species
GGGGGACCAUCCUCCAAGGCUAAAUACUCCUGACUGACCGAUAGUGAACCAGUACCGUGAGGGAAAGGCGAAAAGAACCCCGGCGAGGGGAGUGAAAAGAACCUGAAACCGUGUACGUACAAGCAGUGGGAGCACCUUCGGGUGUGACUGCGUACCUUUUGUAUAAUGGGUCAGCGACUUAUAUUCUGUAGCAAGGUUAACCGUAUAGGGGAGCCGCAGGGAAACCGAGUCU